GAUGAACGCUGGCGGCGUGCCUAAUACAUGCAAGUCGAGCGAACGGACGAGAAGCUUGCUUCUCUGAUGUUAGCGGCGGACGGGUGAGUAACACGUGGAUAACCUACCUAUAAGACUGGGAUAACUUCGGGAAACCGGAGCUAAUACCGGAUAAUAUUUUGAACCGCAUGGUUCAAAAGUGAAAGACGGUCUUGCUGUCACUUAGAGAUGGAUCCGCGCUGCAUUAGCUAGUUGGUAAGGUAACGGCUUACCAAGGCAACGAUGCAUAGCCGACCUGAGAGGGUGAUCGGCCACACUGGAACUGAGACACGGUCCAGACUCCUACGGGAGGCAGCAGUAGGGAAUCUUCCGCAAUGGGCGAAAGCCUGACGGAGCAACGCCGCGUGAGUGAUGAAGGUCUUCGGAUCGUAAAACUCUGUUAUUAGGGAAGAACAUAUGUGUAAGUAAAUGUGCACAUCUUGACGGUACCUAAUCAGAAAGCCACGGCUAACUACGUG
rnacentral:rRNA from 1 species